rnacentral:rRNA from 1 species
GACGAACGCUGGCGGCGUGCUUAACACAUGCAAGUCGAACGGAAAGGCCCUGCUUUUGUGGGGUGCUCGAGUGGCGAACGGGUGAGUAACACGUGAGUAACCUGCCCUUGACUUUGGGAUAACUUCAGGAAACUGGGGCUCAUACAGGAUAGGAGCUACUGAUGCGUGGUGGGGGUUGGAAAGUUACGGCGGUUGUGGCUGGACUCGCGGCUUAUCCGCUUGUUGGUGGGGUAGUGGCUUACCAAGGCUAUGACGGGUAGCCGGCCUUAGAGGGUGGACGGCCACAUUGGGACUAAGAUACGGCCCAGACUGCUACGGGACGCAGCAGUGGAGAAUAUGGCAGAAUGGGCGGAAGCCUGAUGCAGCAACGCCGCGUGCGGGAUGACGGCCUUCGGGUUGUAAACCGCUUUCGCCUGUGACGAAGCGUGAGUGACGGUAAUGGGUAAAGAAGCACCGGCUAACUACGUG